AGAAGACAGCGCGCUAGCGUAUCUAGUCUAUAUCUGUGGUCGGCACGUCUGGUAGCAUCUGUGGCUGCUGUUGAUCUUGUUUUUGGAGUAAAACACGGUGGAAGCUGAAUUAGUGAGGAUGACUCCUGCUCCUGUCAUCUCUAAGCUCCUCACACAUCUUUACCUGCACAUGAGGAAAAUCACUCCUGUAGAAUGCAGAUGUUCAGAGGGAGAUGAUGCCACAUCUGGUCCAGCCGAUGGAAGGUCUUGAAGAUCUCUGACUGGCCUCGACUGAAGAUGGUCUUCUCACUGGAUUUAAGGUUCAGAUGCUCAGUAACAAACUCCACCAAUGUGCUAACAGGGAAGCUUUAGGUUUAUUAAAUGUUGCUAUGAAGGUAUCGCUGUUUUUCUUUGUGAAUGCAAUGUGCUCCAACUGAAACUUGCAUUAGAACUUAGAAGUAAAUCCUUCCAUCUGAAAGGAUUUAGUUGCAUUAAUAACCUCAUAACAUUCUAAUUUUUAUUUCAGUCUUGGUUGAAAAUAGAAUCUCUGUAUUGAUUCAGGUAAAAACUGAACUUCACAGCAUGUUGGAGCAAAACAACCAGAUGAAAACUGUGAU
ensembl:lncRNA